UAUACUAUGUUUAUUAUUACAUUAGUGCAUUUUUUUCAUCCUUGGAUGACAAUACAAGCCUUCCAUAGGAAGAGAGAAGUAAGUUUGCCCGUUAUGAGCUGCAGUGCUGGACCAACAUGGCUGCUAGGAGCUAAUUUUCAAAAGUAUAGACCCAUUUCUCAGCUUGUUCUUACUCAAAUUCAUACAAUGAAGCAAUAGACAUAAACAUAAUAAAUGUAAAUUCAAGUAUGGAUGAAGCUUGCCUGCCUGCCUGCCAAACACAUGCACAAAAAAUGAUUGUCACAACUGCCAUGAGCAAAGUGUAAAAACAUUUGAUUUUAUCGCACAUAUACAUAUGUAUUGAUUCACAUGAGGAAGUUACACCAUAAGUUCCGGGAAGUUACGCGGUAAAUUUUGGGAAGUUACACUUUAAAACCCCGAUUGUUACUCCCUUGUUCCUCAUUGUCUUGUUUUCUUCUGCUGUACCGUAAAACACGGGCUGUAUUAUAAAGCGUUACCAACACGUCUCUAUUGACCAGUCUCGGUUGGAGUGACAGCUUGACAAUAUUCAUAGUUGGUAAACAAGGGAGGGAGUUUUGAAGUCAGAGAAGACAGAAAAUCAAUGUGCAGGUAUGUUUACACAUAACUUCCAUUUUAGUAAUAGCAAGAAUGUUGCUUUGAACUGGUGCAUGUAGAUUGCUUUUGUUUAAUGAUCUGUGAGGGUGUAAUGGGUCAAAAAAUACAUAAUUUUAUGUCAUCAACCCAUCAGAUUCUGUGACCUGCAGUGUUGGGAGAAGUACUCACGUCUUAUGAAUAAGUAUCAAUACCACAAUGUAAAAAUACUCCAUUACAAGUAAAAACCCUGCAUUUAAAACCCUACUUAGAGUAAGUAAAUUUAGCUGGUAAUACUUUUAUACUUUUACUUAAGUAGGAUUUUAAAUGCAGGAUUGUUUGAUGAUAUAAUUGGCCACCCUGCAUCCAACACAUGCAAUGACUGUCUGAGGCAGCUUGCUUAAUAUCUUAUUCUGUCAGCAUAUGUCCUGCUAAGGACCUAAACACCAAGGCAGAGUGACGGGCACCUAGGCCAUUCGAGAUCAAUAUCAAGUCCAGUGGCACAGCUGCUUUGUUGGAUUGGUGUCUUUAUUUGACAUCAAUCUUCAUUACAUGUUUUGGACUGAUUUUUGUAUAUGUGUCAUACAUGAAGUAGUAAUUGUUUCUGUACUGUGCUGUCUUUCUUCACCUGUCUUUUUCAGAUGUGUCCUCAUGGUCACACUGUGUGGAAUUGGACUUCCUAGCCCAUUUUAAAGUAUGGGAUGCUGGUGGGGGACUUCUUGUUGGCCAGUAACAUACUGCUCUCUGGCAAUAACUGUGCAAAGAUAUCACUCCUAUUCAAAUUUAUGAAAAUGGGGAAGGUGGGGAGGUCCUCGUUCUUCAGGAUCCAGGACUCCUACUGUGUGGACACUAUAAAGGACCUCUGGAAUGAGAAGAAAGCCAAAAUCAUCACCCAGCUUCAGUCUAAAGGGCCUGUUGUGGCCCUGGAUUAGUUUCACACACACACACACACACACACACACACACACGCAAACUAUACACCAUAUAAGAGAACUGUAUUUGUUCCCAAGAGACAGUAUUAGCAAGGCAGAUUCAAGGUGAUACGAAGACCUAACACAAAUUUUUUUUUACAAAAACUACUUUGGCUUUUGUGGAUGAUUUUUGAAUAGAUGCUGACAAUAUUUUCAAUUAAGUUUUUAUUUGUGACAUAAGAAGCGCUAGCCUGACCUAUGGCUGCUCAGUGUUGUUUCAUGCAGUUGGAGCAGCUUAAAAUGACAGGUUUUGCUCAUUAUUGAACAGUGUAGUUACCAUUUUUGCUCUCUUUUUGUUCUCAUUUUUAUUCAAAGGAUUGAAUGGAUGGACAGAUGGAUGGAUGGACAGUCCUGGAUACUGUGCACAAUAGUGCACAUACGCUGCCAUGGACAAUGAAUCCAAACAGAUCAUCUGCAUGGUCAACAUUGACAAGCGGGAGACACUGAGGAUCUCCAUUGUCAUGGAGAAGGAGUGCUUCAUGGAUACCUUUGAGACACUCUGUCAAGAGCUGAAUGUAACAGAAAUUUGCACAGAUGCUCAUACCCAAAUAUCAGCCCUGCUCAGUUAGAGUAGUUAUUGUAGUUUUCUUUAAGGGUUGGUGCAGCAAUGUAACCUUCUACAUAAAGUCCCAGACCACAUUCAUCACUUACAUCAUUAUGACUAGACACUGUUUUGGAUUAUUACAUAGCAUACAUAAGUGUUCCAUGACUUGUUUUUGUCCUCCCGACAAAGGGACAUACAAAGACUGUUGAGUCCCCCACAUCCUGGACAUCUGGCAUGGGUCCAAAGGCUUGGGCAGAAAAAAAUCAUGCAGACAUGUGGCUUGGAUUCAUAUCCCGUAUCACAGGAGAACAUGUGAACAUGUGAACUUGUUGACUGUCACCAUGGCCCCUUGGUGGAGAGCAGAGAGAAGGAGUGGAUCCACAAGGGUUCCAGGGCACAGCAGAGACUGACAACUUAUUCUUGACGCACGCUGGCUAAAGACCAUGCACAAGUAUCUAUGUUUCAAGUAUAUCAGCAUAGGUUGCUAUAUUCAACUAACUGUUUUCUCCUAUACAAAUAUUAUACUGUAAUUCAGAAUUGAUGCUGCUAUGUCUUGAAUUGUAUUACCAGAACAUAAAGCAAUUGUAUAUUAUUUUCACUGUGGAUCUGUAGUUGUUGCACAAUCACAUAAGUUCCACAAUCACAUACUCAGCAAGCAAACGCUGGCUGGCCUGGACUACAAUGAUCACAUCCACAGACCAGCCAAGAGAAAAGCUAUGGAUGGAUGAACUUAUAGGUGCUGAGUCAAGACAGAGCCACUAAUAUGCCAAAUAUAGGUAAGGCAAAGUGUACAAUAAGAAGUCCAGGAAGUGGAACUUGUACACACUGAAGGUGGAGAAGGACUACAGCUACAUUGCAGACAUCCAGAGCGCUUCUGUGGUGAUGGUUGUUUGCAACUGAGAGAAUGCUACGGAUCAGAACCAGGAGGCCUGACAAUCCCUGUCAACAUGGGGUUCUCUCUGGUGUUCCUGCCCCAAAUACCCAGGAGCUGUUGCAGAUGCAAGUCAGUAGAGGGCUAGGAUAAUCACUGCCAAAACAGUAGAAGAUUACCACAGCGCCCAUAUGAUGCCACAUGCACAGGCUGACCUGUCAGCCAACACUGACUUGUGUUUAUAAUGUAGGACACAUUGGGAUCUUGUCUUUAAUUUCAAAUUGAGGAGGUGAGUGAAUUCCAAAGAGACAUGGAGAGUUGCCUCACCUCUGGACCCCCAAACUGACCUCUUUGCCGAGUGGGGAUCUGACAACAUGAUACUGACCAAAGUUAAACACUGUGACAAAAUGAAGAUUGAACAGACCAUUUCUGACCAAUAACUAAAUUAUGUCCUAAACUAAAAGCAUAAAUGACCUUUGGGGUCAUUUGAACCAGGAGAAAGGACUGAUAACUCAACACACAUGCACAGAAAACUCUUUUUGGCCUCCUUGCCCACACAUACUAGAGUCAUCAACUCUAACUCACAUUCUUGAAGGACAUUCAUUGAGCUUCUCUGCAAAUCUGAGCUAAAGCUGAAUUUCAUGUGAAUUAAAUGUCUAAUCAUUAUGUAAAUUGUGUAAUCUUGUCAUGGAAAUACAUAAAGAAUGGUAUAAUUUUGAUAGUUGUGUGUUUACCUAUUGAGGAGAUAUUAAUAUUCGAUUUUAUUCCAUUUUUACUACAUGUGACAACACUGGCCUAUAGUAAUAAGAUUAGAAUUUCAAAUUGAAUUUUCUUAUGUUAAGAGUUAAUGAAUGUUUAUAUGGUAAAUAUGCAAUGGUAUUUUUAAAAACACCCAAGUAUUUAACUUUUGAUCUAUUAACCUUUAUAGACAAUCAUAUUUUAAUAGUUAAAUUAGAUAGGUACUUGUAUUACAAGAAUGAAGUUACUGAAGUUAUAGGAAUGUAAAAUGUGUGUGUGUGUGUGAAGAAUUGAGGUUGAAUA